rnacentral:rRNA from 1 species
CCAAUAGCGUAUAUUAAAGUUGUUGCAGUUAAAAAGCUCGUAGUUGAACUUCGGGAUCAAUGGAUUGGUCAUGCCGAUGGUGUGUACUGGUCAUAUUGGUUCUCACCUUCUAAGGAACCAUAAUGUCAUUUAUUUGAUGUUGUGGGAAAUUAGGACUGUUACCUUGAAAAAAUUAGAGUGUUUAAAGCAGGCUAACGCUUGAAUACAUUAGCAUGGAAUAAUGAAAUAGGACAUCGCAUCCUAUUUUGUUGGUUUCUAGGAUCGAUGUAAUGAUUAAUAGGGAUAGUUGGGGGCAUUAGUAUUCAAUUGUCAGAGGUGAAAUUCUUGGAUUUAUUGGAGACUAACUACUGCGAAAGCAUUUGCCAAGGAUGUUUUCAUUAAUCAAGAACGAAAGUUAGGGGAUCGAAGACGAUCAGAUACCGUCGUAGUCUUAACCAUAAACUAUGCCGACUAGGGAUCGGAUGAUGUUGAUUUUUUAAUGACUCAUUCGGCACCUUACG